rnacentral:rRNA from 1 species
CCUACGGGUGGCAGCAGUGAGGAAUAUUGGUCAAUGGCCGUAAGGCUGAACCAGCCAAGUAGCGUGAGGGAAGACUGCCCUAUGGGUUGUAAACCUCUUUUAUGCGGGGAUAAAGGUGUCCACGUGUGGCUGUUUGCAUGUACUGUAUGAAUAAGGAUCGGCUAAUUCCGUGCCAGCAGCCGCGGUAAUACGGAAGGUCCGGGCGUUAUCCGGAUUUAUUGGGUUUAAAGGGAGCGUAGGCGGGUCUUUAAGUGUGUCGUGAAAUUUUGUGGCUCAACCGUGAGAGUGCGACUCGUACUGGAAGCCUUGAGUACAGUGGAGGCAGGCGGAAUUCGUGGUGUAGCGGUGAAAUGCUUAGAUAUCACGAAGAACCCCGAUUGCGAAGGCAGCCUACCACAGCGUGACUGACACUGAAGCUCGAAAGCGCGGGUAUCAAACAGGAUUAGAUACCCCUGUAGUC